AUACGGAGGGUGCAAGCGUUACUCGGAAUCACUGGGCGUAAAGCGCGCGCAGGCGGCUUGAUAAGUUGGAUGUGAAAGCCUACGGCUCAACGUAGAACUGCAUCCAAAACUGUCAAGCUAGAGUCUGGGAGGGGAAGAUGGAAUUAGUUGUGUAGGGGUAAAAUCCGUAGAGAUAACUAGGAAUACCAAAAGCGAAGGCGAUCUUCUGGAACAGUACUGACGCUGAGGCGCGAAAGCGUGGGGAGCAAACAGGAUUAGAAACCCUAGUAGUCC
rnacentral:rRNA from 1 species